UUUCCGUAGGUGAACCUGCGGAGGGAUCAUUGUAAGAGAUGGUGGACCCGCGCGUCCCCGUCCCCAACCCUUUGUUGACCAAACCCCUUUCGCCUCGGGGGCAGGGCGGCCUCCGCCGCCCCCGGUAGAAAAACCAACCCUGUCUCUGUACGUCGGAGUCUUUGAUAAAUAAAUGAAAACUUUUAACAACGGAUCUCUUGGUUCUC
rnacentral:misc_RNA from 1 species